CCAUCUUUGGCUUGGACGCGCAUUUCAUAAUCUUUCCUCUCCUCAAAGUCCACAGGUCCGACGACUCUGAUUACACCAGUCCCUUUGUCUAUAGAAAACACCGUCGAUGCUUUUUCAGAUAUACUACUGAAGUCAUACGUCACUUCCCCAUUUGCACCCUUAUCUGCGUCGGUGGCGCUGACAGUUACCACUACAGAAUGUAAAGGGGGGUUUUCUGUCAGACUGACUCUAUAAACGUCCUGGCUAAACACUGGGAUAUUAUCGUUAGCAUCCAACACAGUGACGUGUAUAACUACAGUACCAGAUCUCUGCGGAGUCCCACCAUCAACAGCAGUAAGUAACAACGUCACCUCCUCUUGCUUUUCUCGAUCCAGCUCUUUUUCUAACACUAACUCACUGUAUUUCCCACCAUCACUAUUUGUAUGAACGGCCAAAACAAAAUGUUCAUUCCUGUCGAGCGUAUAGCUUUGCACGGUGUUUAAUCCUAUGUCCGAAUCAUGAGCUUCGUCUAAGGGAAAACGCUCCCCUUUGUCAGCCGAUUCCCUUAUUUCUAGAUUCAUGCGUUCAUUGGGGAAACGAGGUGAAUUGUCAUUUACGUCUUGAAUUUGCACAGUAAUACGAUGUAGCUCCAGAGGGUUUUCAAGCACAAGCUCAUAUUUUAGUGCACACGUAAGCUUCGACCCACACAGCUCCUCUCUAUCUAUUCUUUCAGUCACAAUAAGGUUGCCAGCCGCGAGGUUGAUGUCACAAUAACGUUGACUGAUGCCAUCCAUAUCCAACCGAGCUUUGCGAUCAGAGAAUCUCUUCGCAUCCAGCCCGAGAUCUUUGGCUAUAUUUCCAAUGACAAAUCCACGCUUCGCUUCCUCGGGAGCAGAGUAGCCCAUGUCUCCAUACGUGUUACGAGGGAGAACAAGAAAGAAAACCGAGGAGAAAACGAAGGCAGAGACCGAUAAUCGUGUAUCCAUCAUCAUCAACGUGGGAGCGGUCCUUUCCUUAAGAUGUUGAUUUACAGAAUUCGUUAUUCCAUUAAAAAAAAAUGUAGUCCAAGUUCCAAUAUUCUCUCCAAGCAAGGAUAUGUUGAAACUAGUCAAUGCUUUGUUUUUU
ensembl:lncRNA